AGUGAACGCUGGCGGCGUGCUUAACACAUGCAAGUCGAACGAGAACGGGAUAUAGCUUGCUAUAUUUGUCAGCUAAGUGGCGCACGGGUGAGUAAUGUAUAGAUAACCUGCCCUCUAGAAAGGAAUAACAGUUGGAAACGACUGCUAAUGCCCUAUAUGCCUUUAAUACAUAAGUAUGCAAGGGAAACGCUUUAGUGCUAGAGGAUGGGUCUGUAUGGUAUCAGCUUGUUGGUGAGGUAAUGGCUCACCAAGGCUAUGACGCCUAACUGGUUUGAGAGGAUGAUCAGUCACACUGGGACUGAGACGCGGUCCAGACUCAUACGGGAGGCAGCAGUGGGGAAUAUUGCACAAUGGACGAAAGUCUGAUGCAGCAACGCCGCGUGGAGGAUGACACAUAUCGGUGCGUAAACUCCUUUUAUAUAGGAAGAUAAUGACGGUACUAUAUGAAUAAGCACCGGCUAACUCCGUGCCAGCCGCCGCGGUAAAAC
rnacentral:rRNA from 1 species